GCUCUGCAUAAAAUAUCAACUUGUUGCUCAGAUAAAGCUCAAAUCAGCCAACUGAAUUACAGAACUUCCAGCCAUCACAGAGUUUGAUCAUGGGGCGAAAAGUCAUUCAGUGCAUUUUUAUACUCAUAUUAACACAAGGUUUCUGCAGUGCUGAGAUCAGACUGGACCAGUCUCCUGCUGUGGUAAAGAGACCUGGAGAAACUGUGAAGAUCUCUUGUAAAAUAAGUGGUUAUUCAAUGACAAGCAAUGACAUAGCCUGGAUACGACAGAAACCAGGGAAAGCUCUGGAAUGGAUCGGCUAUAUGAGUACAGGCAAUAAUAGAGGAACAUAUGCAGAGUCUGUGAAAGACCGGGUCACCUUUACAGAAGACGUUCCUGCAAGCACACAGUAUUUAGAGGCCAAGAGUCUGAGGACAGAGGACACUGCGGUUUAUUACUGCGCCCGAGAGACACAGUGACUGGAGCUGAGGAAGCAGCUGUACUAAAACCACACA